rnacentral:rRNA from 1 species
UACGUAGGGUGCAAGCGUUAAUCGGAAUUACUGGGCGUAAAGCGUGCGCAGGCGGUCUCGCAAGUCCGAUGUGAAAUCCCCGGGCUCAACCUGGGAACUGCGUUGGAAACUACGAGGCUGGAGUACGGCAGAGGGGGGUGGAAUUCCACGUGUAGCAGUGAAAUGCGCAGAUAUCAGGAGGAACACCCGUAGCGAAGGCGGCACUCUGGGCCGAUACUGACACUGAGGAGCGAAAGCGUGGGGAGCGAACAGG